AUUGAACGCUGGCGGCAGGCCUAACACCUGCAAGUCGAACAAGUGGCGGACGGGUGAGUAAUGUCUGGGAAACUGCAUGAUGGAGGGGGAUAACUACUGGAAACGGUAGCUAAUACCGCAUACCAUCGGAUGUGCCCAGAUGGGAGUAGCUAGGAGGUGGGGUAAAGGCUCCACUAGGCCACGGUCCCUAGCUGGUCUGAGAGGAUGACCAGCCACACUGGAACUGAGACACGGUCCAGACUCCUACGGUAGGCAGCAGUGGGGAAUAUUGCACAAUUGGCGCAAGCCUGAUGCAGCCAUGCCGCGUGUAUGAAGAAGGCCUUCGGGUUGUAAAGUACUUUCAGCGGGGAGGCGUUACCCGCAGAAGAAGCACCGGCUAAUUCCGUGCCAGCAGCCGCGGUAAUUC
rnacentral:rRNA from 1 species